rnacentral:rRNA from 1 species
GACGAACGCUGGCGGCGUGCUUAACACAUGCAAGUCGAGCGGUAAGGCCCUUUCGGGGGUACACGAGCGGCGAACGGGUGAGUAACACGUGGGUGACCUGCCCUUAGCUCUGGGAUAAGCCUGGGAAACUGGGUCUAAUACCGGAUAUGACUCCAUGACGCAUGUUGUGGGGUGGAAAGCCUUGUGCGGCUAGGGAUGGGCCCGCGGCCUAUCAGCUUGUUGGUGGGGUGAUGGCCUACCAAGGCGACGACGGGUAGCCGGCCUGAGAGGGCGACCGGCCACACUGGGACUGAGACACGGCCCAGACUCCUACGGGAGGCAGCAGUGGGGAAUCUUGUGCAAUGGGCGAAAGCCUGACGCAGCGACGCCGCGUGAGGGAUGACGGCCUC